rnacentral:rRNA from 1 species
UCCGUAGGUGGAUAAUUAAGUCAGAGGUGAAAGUUUGCAGCUCAACUGUAAAAUUGCCUUUGAUACUGGUUAUCUUGAAUUAUUGUGAAGUGGUUAGAAUAUGUAGUGUAGCGGUGAAAUGCACAGAUAUUACAUAGAAUACCAAUUGCGAAGGCAGAUCACUAACAAUAUAUUGACACUGAUGGACGAAAGCGUGGGGAGCGAACAGGAUUAGAUACCCUGGUAGUCC